CGGGGUGAGUAAUGUCUGGGAAACUGCCUGAUGGAGGGGGAUAACUACUGGAAACGGUAGCUAAUACCGCAUAACGUCGCAAGACCAAAGAGGGGGACCUUCGGGCCUCUUGCCAUCGGAUGUGCCCAGAUGGGAUUAGCUAGUAGGUGGGGUAGCGGCUCACCUAGGCGACGAUCCCUAGCUGGUCUGAGAGGAUGACCAGCCACACUGGAACUGAGACACGGUCCAG
rnacentral:rRNA from 1 species